rnacentral:lncRNA from 1 species
AAAAUGUGUGUGAUGUGAAACCACAGAGACUCCAUGGAAGCCUACACUUGAGAUCCCAGGAGAUCUGAAGGAGAAUGACUCUGUCUCCGUGAGCUGCUCAGCUCUCACUCCCUGUCCACACUCACCUCCUCAACUCACCUGGAGCCUCCAACAGCUCGCUGUCAGCCACACGAAGGAAAACCACGACCGAACGUUAUCCACUAAGAUCCAGGAGAACAUCACCCUCUCAGACCAACACGAUGGACUGAACAUCAGCUGCUCCGCCUCGUACCUUGUGGGUGGAGGAAGAAUGAAGACAUCAGAGGCUGCAAUGACUCUCAGUGUUUCCUGUGAGUCGUCCUGUCUGCUCGUCCUGCUUCACAAUGUAAGUAAUGGUGAUUAAAGUUAAACCUGCUCCUGCUUUGAUCCUCAGAUGCUCCUAAAGACACGUCAGCGUCCAUCAGUCCAUCAGCUUUGGUGUCAGCAGGUAGCUGGGUCAACCUGACGUGCUCCAGCAGAGCCAAGCCUGCAGUCAGCAGCUUCAGCUGGUUCAGGAUCAGCCAAGGUAGAGCCAUCAGAGAGUCUGAAGGACACUUGUACAGCUUCAACGUGAGCCAAGGAGGAGUUUAUUACUGUGUGGCCACCAAUAAUCUGGGUAACCAGACAUCCCAGCACAUCUAUCUGUCUGUCCACGGUAAACAUACUUCACUCAUCAAGAAAAAAGCAAAUAUGUGGCAUUAUGGUUCAAUUUCUAAAACCAAAUAUGGAUUUCUGUUUGUUUGUAUUCAGGAAGCUCACUGGGAGCCAUUAUUGGAGGAAUCACUGCAACCUUCAUACUCAUCUGUACAAUUUUAAUCUUUUGGUGGUUAAAGUCAACACGGCGAACACCUCAAAACACGCAGACUGUUGUUCUUCAAGACCCAUCGAGAGCCGCGCAAACAGAAGAAAUCCAUUAUGGAGAGAUAGAUUUCACCAAAAUGAGACCUAAGUCAUUAUUAGACUCAAGCCACAGAUUGCAGCAGCAGGACGUUGUAUAUUCACAGGUCAGAGUGAAUAAAACUGGAAUGUGCUCAGCUCA